UCAUGGAAACAAUGCAAAAGCGAAAGCUUUAAUGAUUUUGAAACUGGUUGGAUUCAAUGCCAUAAGUUCUGCCUCAAUAUCAAGGCGUUAUGUCUGUUUAUUUCAGGUAUUUAUACGUAGAUGCCAAAGAUUUAGCACCAACUCAAACAUGAAGUUGCUGAGAAAAAAACCAGCUGUAGCAUGGUUCAAGAGGAUAGCACUGAAGGUAAUUUUUUCUGUCGACAUAUUUCAGUUGCAUUGAAGAUAAUGAAACAUGUCUGAUUCUGAUUUUAGCAGUUAUCCCAAGUGUCAUAUUCUGGAAGUGCUGCGGUUUGUGAUGUCUGACUUGAAAACAUUUAGAUGACGGGUUUUGUAUCCUUAAGAGAGAUAGUAUUCUUUUUUUCUCUCUGUUUUCUAACGUUUAUAGUUUAUGAUCAUGCACAUUGCACAAAAAUACCUCCGAUUAAUAGUAAUUGAGAAUUUAUGGAAACACUAUUACAUUAAGAAAAUAAACUAGAGCAUGGCAAGAACAUGUGCUUUAGAGUAACUGUACACUUUGGUCAAGCGUGUAAACUUGACACGGGUUGUUAUUCAUAGUAACCACAUUGCAUAUUUAGUUUAAUACCCAAAAAUACCUUGGCUCAUGUCAAACCAUACCUUCCUGAACACCUUGAUGAUGAGAUCAUGAUAUUCAUCUGCAUUCAAAGUCAGAUAACAUACCAAAAGAUCUUCCAUUUCUUCUGGCUGAAUAAUCUGAUUCUCUAUGAUCAUCUCAAUCAUUGAGUCUCUGAAAUCUUGCAUUGGAUCUAUUGAAGACUUAAUCACAGCAAAGCUUUCUAAUACUGGUAUUUCCUCCUUUUCUUUCUUCGUCUUUAGUUUUGCUUUCUUCAUGUCUUCCAGGGCCUUUAUUUUGCAAAUUUCAACCUUAGAAACCAUCCUUGGAGAAUGUAUUUUGACCCUAGAGCUCGGCUUUUGUUUCCUCCUCUGACGUUCUCUGUUGAGUUGAUGUGAUUGCUUAUUCCUGUUGGUCUUUACCUUCGUCUCCUCAGUUUGUUUCAAGUUCUGCCUCUCAGAACUCAUUUUCUUGUGAGACAGCCUUUCAUUUUUCUCAAAAUUUUCUAUAACAUUUCCAAGGAUGGGAUUCCUUGAAAUUGCUGAAGAAGAAAAAGCGUGUGUUCUUGGGGUGCAAAUUGUUCUAGGUGAUUCCAAUUGCAACACAUCUUUUUCCACUGCUUUACUUGAUCCUCUUUCAAGUGUCAAGAGUUGGUCUUGAAAAGCCUUUUUUGCUUUCCUCUCAAAUCUCUUCCUUAAGUUUUCAUAUUCCUUUUCUCUAUUGUACACAUCCAUCUUCUUUGAAACCUUCCCAUCAUCCACCAACUUUCUUUCUUCUCCUUGACCAAUAUCCCUCUCCUUUAACUCUGGUGUGCCUUUAACAUCCCUUCUACCACCAAAGCAACUUGAGGAGUGAAUCACACUCUCAUCAAUAUCUUCAUUCUUCUCAUCCUCGUUUAAACGUUGUCUACAGAAAUCACCAUCAUUCUUUACACAACAUCUUCUAUCUCCAAUCUCACAGAAAUAUUGAGGUGAACUACUAGGCUUUGCCUUUUGCUUCAUUUUUGCAGCACUUGGCUCCGAAUUGAUUCUCAUAUUCUUGAACUUGGAGAACCAAGAGAAAGGAGAUGCAUGAGAAAUGAAGGAAGAGACAGAAGAAGAGGAAGUUGAAGAAUGAUUUCUUCCUACCCACUUCAUCGUUUGUAUUAAUGAAGAUGAUGAUAAAUCUCUUCUUCCUUCUGAUUUGGUUAAGGUUUGUAGUAUUUUGUAGAAGAUAGAAUACGAGAAUGAAAACUGAUAUGGAAGAUAAUGUUGCUUAGUGGCAUAAGAUAACUCGUGAAACAUAGUGGGACGGUUAGGAUGUUAAAUAGGAACGUGGGUUUCCUACUGUUUUUCAAAAGACACAACCACCUAAUGCCUGUGACUAUUACCAACUUUUGGUGCUUUUUAGUUUCUACUUAGUGCUUACGUACGACCAAUUUAUAAUUCCUAUUCAUAACAAAAAGGCCACACAACAAAUGUUACUCAUAUCUUAUCUUACACCAUACUCUCCCAUAAUGGAACUUUUUUUGGUUAAAAUUUAUUGAAAUUAUAGAAUUAUGUCUCUUACCUCCUAUUUAUUCAAUUAUUUAAUCUAUUUUAACUUUUAAUAAGUUUUAACCAGUAAUAAAAAUUCAGAUAACAAGAUUUGUGGGAUUGUAGGUCAUUUAUAUUAAAAGCUGGUUAGUGUUGACUGACCCACAGCUAAAGGUAGCAGAAGCCCUUAAUAAGGGGCUACCCUCAAAGAGUACGGUAGCGUAGGUCUCACAUAACACAAGUUAUACUGGUAGCUCUAACCAAAGAUUGGAAUCCACACCGAGUUAUGCAAAUUGAUUAGCAGCAGCACCCUCUCAAAAGUUUCUCUGCAUAAUCGCCAGCUUGUGUGAAUUAAAUUGUAAGUUGACCCGGGUUGUCCUUUAAAUUUCACCCAUGACAGAUUCAUUGAAACGUGAGAAAAAAAAAAUUCUAAGAUCUAAUUAAUAUAAUUAAUAGAAGAUGACUACAGUUACACAAUCAUCGUACUGAUCCCAACAACACCAAAAGCUAAGUCCUUUGGUUAAUCUUUUCUUCAUUCACAUUUACAUUCGUGUGUAAAAUGACAUACACGAAGAAGGGUGUGCCAAUUUAAAUGGUAAAAUUUCAAAUCUCCCUUAUUGCUGAUUGAAAUGUUAGCCAAAAGUUAAUCUUUCAUCGUUCACAUAUAACAUAUAAGUGUAAAAUGGCAUACCCGAAAAAGGUUUGAAGGUCAAAAUUAUGAUGGUGAGAUCGCUGGUCUACUAUAGCUAAGGUCUUGUUCAUUUAUUUAACUGUUGCCUUCACAUUGAAUGGUGAGAUAAUGGUAAUGAGUGGGAACUGCCAAAUUUCAAUCACUGUUGAAAUAGUUAUGUCUUUCUUUGAAAUUUCGUUCCUUUCAUCAUCAAACCAUUUAUUAAAGCACAUUUUAAAUAGUAAAUGCAUAAUUCGAUCCUUAAAAAGAAACAAACACCAAAGUAGAGGGUGACUAAACUAAUUGUUCCAGCUAAAUAAAGAACAUGUUCAAGAGUGUAUAGAUCCUGAACGUGUAUUUAGCAGUUCAAAAAAUUUUACACAAGUCUUUUAUGUGUGUUAAUGUAAGGAAAAGUGAUAAAGAUAAAGGUUAAAAGACAUAGCAAAUAUUUUUCUUUCCCUUAUUUUUUUGUAAUGAAACAUUAUGUUGUCUUAAGUAGAAGGUAGUUUUUCUGAAAAAUCGUUGUUAUCAUUAUCGUUCUGCUUUUUGUAAUUUAUUUCCAACUGCUUAUUACAGCAUUCGUUUUGGUCUGAAAAUCCCUAAGUCAAUGUCAUCAGAAAAGUUCGUUUAUCUUUCAUGCAGGUGCUGAUUUUACAUACAAUUGGUCACUGCACUGCACUGCAAUUCUGAAAAGUAAUUAAGAAUUUUUGGACAACCAAGUCAAGUAAAUGUAUAAGAAGUUGGGUUUGCUGCCAUUUUCUGUGUUGGUUGGUUAAGAAAUGCAUAAAUUUCCACUCUACAGUUUUUGUUUAAUUUUCU
rnacentral:lncRNA from 1 species